UAACAAUAUAGAACUGAUUAUUUAGUUCUGUAAUUGGAAUGAGUCAAGUAAAAAUCCUUUAAUGAGGAUCCAGUGGAGGGCAAGUCUGGUGCCAGCAGCCG
rnacentral:ncRNA from 1 species